UGCGUAGGCGGUUUGAUAAGUCUGAUGUGAAAUCCUAUGGCUCAACCAUAGAACUGCAUUGGAAACUGUCAAACUAGAAUACUGAAGGGGCAGAUGGAAUUAGUGGUGUAGGGGUAAAAUCCGUAGAUAUCACUAGGAAUACCGAAAGCGAAAGCGAUCUGCUGGGAAGUUAUUGACGCUGAGGCACGAAAGCGUGGGGAGCAAACAGGAUUAGAUACCAUGGUAGUCC
rnacentral:rRNA from 1 species